CUCAUCGACGGAAGGGAUUCCUUCCGUCGAUGAGGUAAAACACCCUCAUCGACCGGAAGGGAUUCCUUCCGGUCGAUGAGGUAAAGCACCCUCAUCGACGGAAGGGAUUCCUUCCGUCGAUGAG
rnacentral:miRNA from 1 species